UAUGCUCCCUCUCCUAUCGACACAUCUCUCUCUCUCUUCUUCACAAUUCCAAUUUCACUUCAUUUCUCAAAAUCCCUAAUUCAAAGAACCAGAGGCUGCGCCUCCUACUCCAUUCUCCGGCGAAAUCGUCGUCUCUCCGGCGAUUCACCGCCUCUCUGCGUCGCCGGAACUACACCGGCUCCGCCUCCUCUCUCGAAUUCGCACCUCGUCUCCUUUCCUUCGGCGAAAUCGCCUCUAGCUCGACGGGAUUUCAGAGUCCCGCCAGCGCCGGCUCUCGCGCAUGUUCGCCACUUCGCUACGCGAGCGGCGGCCCUUCUUCACCGCCGUUCGCCGUCAUUUGCCGCUGCCGCCGCCUUGCAGCGCAGCUUUCCGGCGAGAGGGGGCGUGGGGAGGCAUCGCCUUCUCCUCCCUCUCUCAGCCGCGGCCUGCAGCUUCCUCGCAGGAGCUUCCGGACUCCGUCGACGCUCGCCCGUCGGCCGGCCGCCUCGCCCCUGCUGCCGCCGUGAUCCACAGCUUCUCCGCGGAAGUUCUUCGGCUCCGUCGACGCUCGCCGUCGCCCGGUCACCCCUCCGCCUAAGCUAAGUCUUCUCCCCCAUACCCCUUACUCUUUUUCUUUCGAGCUAUGGCAGCAGCUUAUUCUUGGAAAGGAAAUUCUCUAUUGGGGUCUUGUGUGGCUUAUGGUGAUAUAUUGCUCAAAUUGAAACCUUGUUAAGCUCUUGCUUAUGAGAUUAUGCUACUGAAUUCAUAUGGAGGGGGGGUUAUCACGCGGCUAUCUCUAAUUUGCAUAGCUCUAAGCUCUUGAGCUUCAACUUAGUGUUACAUGGUUGUUAUUGUUUUAUCCUUGCUGCGAGGAUCCUAUGGAAAUUCUAAGUUCUUGUUUCUAGCUAUUCGUUGUUCUACAUGAUGCGAUGGAGAUGGGUGUUGAGGUUGUUUACCUCACUUGUUGAACUUGUAUCGGUGGUGGCUGUCCUUGCCGUCACCACUCGCUGCCCUCUCCCUCCUCCCUCGCUGCUCUUCGCGUUUGGUGUUGCAGAAUUUGUGGUGAUGGAAUGUGGUGGUGGAGGAGGUGAGGAGAGGUUGCUUAUAUGGUGCUAAGCUAUUGAAAGCUAGGCUUGAGACUUGGAGUCAAAGACUCCUAUUUUGGGCUUGUUAGCUCUCUUACUUUCGAGCUUGAUGAUUGUGAGAUUCUUGCCGUUUUGGUGAUUGUGGCUGAUUCCCUUGGCUGAUUUCUCGGCCUCGAUCGACGGGGAGAUGAGAGUUUGUCUCAUCCUCUAUUUUUGGGCUUGUGUAGGAGCUCGCUCUCCAAUGCCCCUUUGUCUCGACUCCCUUUUGAUGUUAGAGGAGAUGGUAUCAUAGCUGGAAAUUUGGAGCCUUAUGGGCUGAAAAUCGAGAAGGAGAUUGAGGGGGAAAGAAAGAAGAUGCUCCUCUAGAGAUCCUUUGGCUCCAUCACCAAAAUAGCUAGCUUCCAACUUGCUCACUAGUGUAGGAUAAUGGUGUAGAGAAGAUGUGUGUGUGUCACCCUCACAUAUGUAACAUGUGCUAGAUGUAUCUCCAACAUUCUUGUGUAAUUUGUUCCUCAAUUAUUUAUCUAAUAAAAGCAUAGCUUUACUUUUA